rnacentral:rRNA from 1 species
AGGACGGGUCCGCGUCCCAUUAGAUAGUUGGCGGGGUAAUGGCCCACCAAGGCGAUGAUGGGUAGCUGGUCUGAGAGGAUGACCAGCCACACUGGGACUGGAACACGGCCCAGACUCUUACGGGAGGCAGCAGUGAGGAAUAUUGCACAAUGGACGAAAGUCUGAUGCAGCAACGCCGCGUGAGUGACGAAGGCCUUCGGGUUGUAAAGCUCUGUCGGGUGGGAAGAUGUGGUCCGGCUAAUCACCGGAUUGUGACGGUACCAUCAAAGGAAGCACCGGCUAACUCCGUGCCAGCAGCCGCGGUAAUACGGAGGGUGCAAGCGUUGUCCGGAUUUAUUGGGCGUAAAGCACGUGCAGGCGGUCUGUUAUGUCGAGUGUGAAAUCCCGGGGCUUAACCCCGGAACUGCGCUCGAAACUGGCAGACUUGAGUUCGGAAGGGGGAGAUGGAAUUUCCGGGUAGGGGGUGAAAUCCGUAGAUAUCGGGAAGAAUACCGGUGGCGAAGGCGAUCUCCUGGUCCGAUACUGACGCUCAGACGUGAAAGCGUGGGGAGCAAACAGAAUUAGAUACUCUGGUAGUCCACGCUGUAAACGUGAGACACUAGGUGUUGGGGGUACCAAUUCCUUCAGUGCCGUAGCUAACGCGUUAA